UUGGUUUUCAGUUUAGUUCUGAUUUAGUUUAGUUUUUACUGUUCUAGAGAUAUAGGAACCGUUUAGAUAUUUUUGAACAUUAAUGUGGUUAUAGUUUUUAUUUUUUUUAUUUGUGUUUCAGUUCGGUUAUUGGUUCUCGGCUUAUCAAAUUCCAUUUAAACAAUAUAUCUUGUAUUUUAUAAAUAACUGAUUUAAAUUUAUAUUCAGGAUAUAUUUUGUAAAUUCUCGAUAUUAAAAGUG
rnacentral:lncRNA from 1 species